rnacentral:rRNA from 1 species
GCAAGUCGAGCGAGAAAGCACUUCGGUGUGAGUAUAGCGGCGGACGGGUGAGUAACGCGUAGGAAUCUACCUAGUAGUGGGGGACAACCUGGUGAAAACCAGGCUAAUACCGCAUACGCCCUACGGGGGAAAGCGGGGGACCUUCGGGCCUCGCGCUAUUAGAUGAGCCUGCGUUGGAUUAGCUAGUUGGUAGGGUAAAGGCCUACCAAGGCGACGAUCCAUAGCUGGUUUGAGAGGAUGAUC